rnacentral:lncRNA from 1 species
AAAAAAAAACAUAACAAAGUCCAUUUGGAAGAACAAAAGAUCAAGGAUAUCCAGGGAAAUAAUGAAAAAAAUGAGAAGGAAGGUAGCCUUGCAGUCCCAGAAUUCAAACUAUACUAUAAAGCAGUGGUCAUCAAAAUAAUAUGGCAAUGGCUAAGAGACAGAAAGGAGGAUCAGUGGAGUAGGCUUGGGAUUCAUCUCUUCUCCACAGAUCUGACAGGAGUCCACAGGAGGCCAGCCUCUUCCCAAGUAGCUCCUGGGAGCAAAAAGAAAUUAUGGAAAAUUCAGUGACUGAACCAAGAUAAUUAUUAUGGAAGAAUGGAUGCAAAAAAGAAGAAGAAAGUCAUACAUGAUGAUAAUUGCCACUAGAUGUUGACUAUAACUUUAAAAUAUAACAAUCAGG